GAUGAACGCUAGCUACAGGCUUAACACAUGCAAGUCGCGGGGCAGCAUGGGGGUUGCUUGCAAUCCCCGAUGGCGACCGGCGCACGGGUGAGUAACGCGUAUCCAACCUGCCCUUCACCACGGGAUAACCCGGCGAAAGUCGGACUAAUACCGUAUGUUGUCCAUUGACGGCAUCCGAUUUGGACGAAAGGUUUGGCGGUGAAGGAUGGGGAUGCGUCCGAUUAGCUGGACGGCGGGGUGACGGCCCACCGUGGCGACGAUCGGUAGGGGUUCUGAGAGGGAGGUCCCCCACACUGGAACUGAGACACGGUCCAGACUCCUACGGGAGGCAGCAGUGAGGAAUAUUGGUCAAUGGGCGUAAGCCUGAACCAGCCAAGUAGCGUGCAGGAUGACGGCCCUAUGGGUUGUAAACUGCUUUUAUGCGGGGAUAAAGUGGCCCACGUGUGGGUUUUUGCAGGUACCGCAUGAAUAAGGACCGGCUAAUUCCGUG
rnacentral:rRNA from 1 species